UAUUGGGCUGGCCAAAAAGUUCGUUCAGGUUUUUCUGUAAGACGGUAUGGAAAACUUGAAUGAACCUUUUGGCCAACCCAAUAUAU
rnacentral:miRNA from 1 species